GCCAGUCUGCAUGGAGCCGACCUUGAAAUACCACCCUUUAAUGUUUGAUGUUCUAACGUGGACCCGUGAUCCGGGUUGCGGACAGUGUCUGGUGGGUAGUUUGACUGGGGCGGUCUCCUCCUAAAGAGUAACGGAGGAGCACGAAGGUUGGCUAAUCCUGGUCGGACAUCAGGAGGUUAGUGCAAUGGCAUAAGCCAGCUUGACUGCGAGCGUGACGGCGCGAGCAGGUGCGAAAGCAGGUCAUAGUGAUCCGGUGGUUCUGAAUGGAAGGGCCAUCGCUCAACGGAUAAAAGGUACUCCGGGGAUAACAGGCUGAUACCGCCCAAGAGUUCAUAUCGACGGCGGUGUUUGGCACCUCGAUGUCGGCUCAUCACAUCCUGGGGCUGAAGUAGGUCCCAAGGGUAUGGCUGUUCGCCAUUUAAAGUGGUACGCGAGCUGGGUUUAGAACGUCGUGAGACAGUUCGGUCCCUAUCUGCCGUGGGCGCUGGAGAACUGAGGGGGGCUGCUCCUAGUACGAGAGGACCGGAGUGGACGCAUCACUGGUGUUCGGGUUGUCAUGCCAAUGGCACUGCCCGGUAGCUAAAUGCGGAAGAGAUAAGUGCUGAAAGCAUCUAAGCACGAAACUUGCC
rnacentral:rRNA from 1 species